rnacentral:rRNA from 1 species
GACGGGGGGGGCAAGCGUUGUUCGGAAUUACUGGGCGUAAAGGGCUCGUAGGCGGCCAACUAAGUCAGACGUGAAAUCCCUCGGCUUAACCGGGGAACUGCGUCUGAUACUGGAUGGCUUGAGGUUGGGAGAGGGAUGCGGAAUUCCAGGUGUAGCGGUGAAAUGCGUAGAGAUGUGGAGGAACACCGAUGGCGAAGGCAGCCCCCCUGGGCUAAGAUUGACGCUCAGGCACGGAAAGCGUGGGGAGCAAACAGG